AUUGAACGCCGGCGGCAUGCCUUACACAUGCAAGUCGAACGGCAGCACGGGGCAACCUGGUGGCGAGUGGCGAACGGGUGAGUAAUGCAUCGGAACGUACCUUUCAGUGGGGGAUAACGUAGCGAAAGUUACGCUAAUACCGCAUAUCCUGUGAGCAGGAAAGCAGGGGAUCGCAAGACCUUGCGCUGAUUGAGCGGCCGAUGUCAGAUUAGCUAGUUGGUGAGGUAAAGGCUCACCAAGGCGACGAUCUGUAGCGGGUCUGAGAGGAUGAUCCGCAGCAAUGGAACUGAGACACGGUCCAGACUCCUACGGGAGGCAGCAGUGGGGAAUUUUGGACAAUGGGGGCAACCCUGAUCCAGCCAUGCCGCGUGAGUGAAGAAGGCCUUCGGGUUGUAAAGCUCUUUCGGCCGGGAAGAAAUCGCACGGGCUAAUACCCUGUGUGGAUGACGGUACCGGAAUAAGAAGCACCGGCUAACUACGUGCCAGCCGCCGCGGUAA
rnacentral:rRNA from 1 species